CACGGGCUCGAUGAGAGUUUCGAGUCGUGACACCUUUAUUCCUUGACAUUUUGCAUGCAACUAUUUAUUUUCCUUUUGUAGCACAUUAAGCUCAACAAUCAUUGAUUCAAAGGGACUUCUCGAGAUUUCAAACUGGAUGAACAAAUAGAAUCAGAUUGGGGAGGCAAUAUGAUGUUUUUUUAUUCUCCAUGCAUGCCAUACCAAAUAUUCUAGUGUAACCUUAUCAUUGAAUCUCCUUAGUCUUAUUCUAUGAGCAUGUUUCCAUGACUUAACAAUCUACUCAACUUUCUUUAACACCCUUGGCUUGUCGUAUAAAUUGUUCAGACCCCAUUUGUCUAUGUACCAUAAAUGAGGCAUAGCUAAUUGCCCCUAUAAUCCUAAGAGGGGAACUGACAUCUUAUCUCCACAGCUAUACAACAUUGGUUGAAGUGCCAUCCAUGGUGCUUUCCAUAUUACCUAUUGUCUCAUGAGGCUUUUUCGUCUCAAGAACCAUGCUUGUUUGGAUAUUUUUUUUUAGGCCAUUCACUUUCAAUAAACUUUCCAAUCGAAACGUUAAUGGAGA